rnacentral:rRNA from 1 species
CCCUUAGAUGGCCUGGGCUGCACGCGCGCUACACUGAUGUGUCCAGUAAGCACCUAACCUCUUCCGAAAGGAACGGGUAACCUUUGCAAAGCACAUCGUGAUGGGGAUAGAUUAUUGCAAUUAUUAGUCUUGAACGAGGAAUUCCUAGUAAGCACAAGUCAUCAGCUUGUGUUGAUUACGUCCCUGCCCUUUGUACACACCGCCCGUCGCUCCUACCGAUUGAAUGUUCCGGUGAGCUCUUCGGACUGCGCGGUCUGCAGUUUCUGCGUUCCGUGCGGAAAGUUGCGCAAACCUUAACAUUUAGAGGAAGGAGAAGUCGUAACA